rnacentral:rRNA from 1 species
GACGAACGCUGGCGGCGUGCUUAACACAUGCAAGUCGAACGGUAAGGCUCCAGCUUGCUGGGGUACACGAGUGGCGAACGGGUGAGUAACACGUGGGUGACCUGCCCUGCACUUCGGGAUAAGCCUGGGAAACUGGGUCUAAUACCGGAUAGGACUGCACCGUGAGGGUGUGGUGGAAAGUUUUUUCGGUGUGGGAUGGGCCCGCGGCCUAUCAGCUUGUUGGUGGGGUAAUGGCCUACCAAGGCGGCGACGGGUAGCCGGCCUGAGAGGGUGGACGGCCACAUUGGGACUGAGACACGGCCCAGACUCCUACGGGAGGCAGCAGUGGGGAAUAUUGCACAAUGGGCGGAAGCCUGAUGCAGCGACGCCGCGUGGGGGAUGACGGCCUUCGGGUUGUAAACUCCUUUCACCAUCGACGAAGGGUUUCUGACGGUAGAUGGAGAAGAGGCACCGGCUAACUACGUG